CGAGGCCACUGGGUUGGGCUGAUGGUAUCAAGGAACCCAAGAAACAACAGAGAGACUUAAAAACGUGCUGCCACGUCAGAUGACACUUUGGCCUAAGUUAUGGAAAAUGCAGUUGCUGAAACGUGAAUUCGCCAGCUCGAAGAUACGCUACUCCAAACACAGUGGCAUUGAUCCCGAUGUUCCCUCCUGCUGAGCCCCAGGCUCACCUGUGCCCUUCACCUGGAAGUCAGUGCGGCGCUGCAGCGUGGAUGGCAGCUCAUUCAGCCGUAGGCUCAGCUGCCGUUUGAAAGUAUGAUUUAAGAGUACGUUGCAUACAAUAAACAAGGCAUGGAAACAACCUAAAUGUCCAUCAAUAGAUGAAUGGAUAAAGAAGAUGUGGUAAUAUAUAUACAAUGGAAUACUACCCAGC